UCUAGUAGCUAUAUCAUCGUGCAACUGGCAGCCCACUGAAGCUAAGCACAUGGAGCCUGGUCAGUACCUGGAUGAGAGACCUCCUGGGAAGGCUAUGGUUGCUGGUGGGA
rnacentral:rRNA from 1 species